AUGUACCCUAUUGAGAGGUAUUUACGUAGCUUAAAAGGUUAUGUACGUAAUCGAGCUUAUCCAGAAGGUUCAAUUGCUGAAGGAUAUCUUGCAAAUGAAUGCUUAUUAUUUUGCUCAAUAUACCUUAAUGGUAUUGAAACAAAGCAUAAUCGAGUUAAAAGAAAUUGGGAUGGUGCGAUAACUCAUGGUUAUAAAGUUGAAACAAAUGAUAAAGUAUUAUCGAUUUUCAAGCAAAAUGGCAGACCCACAAGAAAUUGUAAAGUGACAAGAAGAUUGAGUCUAGAAGAAAUAAAGCAAUCUCAUCUUUAUAUUUUGAAGAACUGUGAUCAAGUUACUCCUUUCAUAUGCAAACAUAAAGAAAUAUUAGAAAUAGAAAACCCAAGAAAU